AUACGUAGGGGGCGAGCGUUAUCCGGCAUUAUUGGGCGUAAAGAGUGCGUAGGUGGUUACCUAAGCGCAGGGUUUAAGGCAAUGGCUCAACCAUUGUAUGCCUUGCGAACUGGGCUACUUGAGUGCAGGAGAGGAAAGCGGAAUUCCUAGUGUAGCGGGGAAAUGCGUAGAUAUUAGGAGGAACACCAGUGGCGAAGGCGGCUUUCUGGACUGUAACUGACACUGAGGCACGAAAGCGUGGGGAGCAAACAGGAUUAGAUACCCUGGUAGUCCACGCCGUAAACGAUGAGCACUAGGUGUCGGGGUCGCAAGACUUCGGUGCCGCAGUUAACGCAUUAAGUGCUCCGCCUGGGGAGUACGCACGCAAGUGUGAAACUCAAAGGAAUUGACGGGG
rnacentral:rRNA from 1 species